AUUGAACGCUGGCGGAAUGCUUUACACAUGCAAGUCGAGCGGCAGCGCGGCCUUCGGGCUGGCGGCGAGCGGCGAACGGGUGAGUAAUGCAUCGGAACAUGCCCAGUCGUGGGGGAUAACACUUCGAAAGAAGUGCUAAUACCGCAUACGUCCUGAGGGGCAAAGCGGGGGAUCGCAAGACCUCGCGCGAUUGGAGUGGCCGAUGUCAGAUUAGCUAGUUGGUGGGGUAAAGGCCUACCAAGGCGACGAUCUGUAGCUGGUCUGAGAGGAUGAUCAGCCACACUGGGACUGAGACACGGCCCAGACUCCUACGGGAGGCAGCAGUGGGGAAUUUUGGACAAUGGGGGCAACCCUGAUCCAGCCAUUCCGCGUGAGUGAAGAAGGCCUUCGGGUUGUAAAGCUCUUUCGGCAGGAACGAAACGGUGGGCUCUAACAUAGUCCGCUAAUGACGGUACCUGAAGAAGAAGCACCGGCUAACUACGUG
rnacentral:rRNA from 1 species